AAAAGAAGGAAAGAAGGGAAGAAUAAUGUGGAUUUAUUGAGGAGAAAGAGAAGUAAAUAUUUGGUGGCGUUUAAGAAGUGUUUGUGUUCCACCUGCAUGACAAGAUGAGGACUUUUUUUAAGGCAGCACUUCCAACAAGAAGAAGAUGAGGACAUGUUUGAGGCAGCACUUCCAACAAGAAGAAGAAGAUGAGGACAUGUUUGAGGCAGCACUUCCAACAAGAAGAAGAUGAGGACAUGUUUGAGGCAGCACUUCCAACAAGAAGAAGAUGAGGACAUGUUUGAGGCAGCACUUCCAACAAGAAGAAGAUGAGGACAUGUUUGAGGCAGCACUUCCAACAAGAAGAAGAUGAGGACAUGUUUGAGGCAGCACUUCCAACAAGAAGAAGAUGAGGACAUGUUUGAGGCAGCACUUCCAACAAGAAGAAGAUGAGGACAUGUUUGAGGCAGCACUUCCAACAAGAAGAAGAUGAGGACAUGUUUGAGGCAGCACUUCCAACAAGAAGAAGAUGAGGACAUGUUUGAGGCAGCACUUCCAACAAGAAGAAGAAGAUGAGGACAUGUUUGAGGCAGCACUUCCAACAAGAAGAAGAAGAUGAGGACAUGUUUGAGGCAGCACUUCCAACAAGAAGAAGAUGAGGACAUGUUUGAGGCAGCACUUCCAACAAGAAGAAGAUGAGGACAUGUUUAAGGCAGCACUUCCAACAAGAAGAAGAAGAUGAGGACAUGUUUGAGGCAGCACUUCCAACAACAAGAAGAAGAUGAGGACAUGUUUGAGGCAGCACUUCCAACAAGAAGAAGAUGAGGACAUUUUUGAGGCAGCACUUCCAACAAGAAGAAGAUGAGGACAUGUUUGAGGCAGCACUUCCAACAAGAAGAAGAAGAUGAGGACAUGUUUGAGGCAGCACUUCCAACAAGAAGAAGAUGAGGACAUGUUUGAGGCAGCACUUCCAACAAGAAGAAGAUGAGGACAUGUUUGAGGCAGCACUUCCAACAAGAAGAAGAUGAGGACAUGUUUAAGGCAGCACUUACAACAAGAAGAAGAUGAGGACAUGUUUGAGGCAGCACUUCCAACAAGAAGAAGAUGAGGACAUGUUUGAGGCAGCACUUCCAACAAGAAGAAGAUGAGGACAUGUUUAAGGCAGCACUUCCAACAAGAAGAAGAAGAUGAGGACAUGUUUGAGGCAGCACUUCCAACAAGAAGAAGAUGAGGACAUGUUUGAGGCAGCACUUCCAACAAGAAGAAGAUGAGGACAUGUUUGAGGCAGCACUUCCAACAAGAAGAAGAAGAUGAGGACAUGUUUGAGGCAGCACUUCCAACAAGAAGAAGAUGAGGACAUGUUUGAGGCAGCACUUCCAACAAGAAGAAGAUGAGGACAUGUUUAAGGCAGCACUUCCAACAAGAAGAAGAAGAUGAGGACAUGUUUGAGGCAGCACUUCCAACAACAAGAAGAAGAUGAGGACAUGUUUGAGGCAGCACUUCCAACAAGAAGAAGAUGAGGACAUUUUUGAGGCAGCACUUCCAACAAGAAGAAGAUGAGGACAUGUUUGAGGCAGCACUUCCAACAAGAAGAAGAUGAGGACAUGUUUGAGGCAGCACUUCCAACAAGAAGAAGAAGAUGAGGACAUGUUUGAGGCAGCACUUCCAACAAGAAGAAGAUGAGGACAUGUUUGAGGCAGCACUUCCAACAAGAAGAAGAUGAGGACAUGUUUGAGGCAGCACUUCCAAGAAGAAGAAGAUGAGGACAUGUUUGAGGCAGCACUUCCAACAAGAAGAAGAUGAGGACAUGUUUGAGGCAGCACUUCCAACAAGAAGAAGAUGAGGACAUGUUUGAGGCAGCACUUCCAACAAGAAGAAGGACUAGAAGUGACGUCAUACCUGAGUGGAAAAAGUUUGGACACCCCUGCCAUAUGGUCUCCACAUCAAAGGUCCAUUUCCCUACGAAGACCAUGCAUCCUGCCCAUCAACCAAUGGCCUCACCAGCCAAGUUUGAUCACUCUAUGGAGGCUGUACACCCCUCCCAUCCCCACACCGCUGGCCCAUCACCAAAUGUCCACACCUAUGGUCCUUCACCCGGCGUACACAAUAGCUUGCUACCUGAAUCCACCUGAGAAUAAAAAGGCAGCUUUCCUGGCACCAGACAGGAGAGAUGCAGGCAACCCAUCUAUUGAGGACACUAUCUGUUAUCAACCACAGGCAGAAAAAUCAUGGACGCCAUGUGAUGGAUGUAGGGAGGAGUUGGAAAAAAUGUGGGCAGAAAAAGAAGGAAUUGAAGAAGUCCUCUUGAAAAUAGAUCCGGUCCAAGUCAGAGUACUUCAAACUCUCUGCGACUUGGUUGGAGACAAAUACAGCGACGGCCCUCCUCAACAAUCGGGCCAGCAAGAGCUCUUUCCUGAGAGCGGCGUAUUCAUAUCAUUGUUCCGCCUUGCUGCCAUGAGACAUGCUGCAGAGCCCAAAUGUAUGCCUUUAUUUGGACCUCUUUUUUCUACGUGUCAAAAUGCUGUCCCUUUUUGACGCCCUGGAAACAAACCUGCAGGAACACCAAAGCGCAUCCUUAAGCGGAAAAAAGUGGAAGGAAUCCUUACGUAUGUCCUGAGAUGCAGUACCCUUCCUGAUUGGGACGAUAUUGAGGAGGUCAAGCUCAAGAAAGCUUUGGUAAACAAAAGUCAGGCCAGAGAGGGUUUGAAGUAGGCCCUUGUACCUGUCAAGUUCAUUCUAUGGUAGGAUGUUCAAUAUUUUGGUCUAGGUUUGCGCAGUAUAUGUUGUCAAAAAUGGCCCUAUGAUGUAGCUUUUAGUACCAGGUUAUACUGUGAUAAUGCAUAUUGAGCUGUGCUGUGCCAAGCAAAUUUGGCAGUGAUGCAACCUCACUAACAAGCUAGCGGCUAAUAUCCUUUUACAGUUCAAAGUUGUUUCCAAAUCAAAAAAAAAUGACGCAGUACGUUACUGCUUACAUAAUCAGGUAUAUUAGUAGCUUUUGUAACCAAUUUCAACAUGUUUCAAUGAUCAUUUGUGUAGCAAAUGUUAUAUUGUUAUGGCAGGAGGCUGUUCUAUUGUUUACAACAGUGUUUCUUAAUCCUAGGGCUGGGGCCCACUGUUUGGCUGCGAGUACCCCUUGGAAGCCGCCAAUAAAUAUCUGUUUCUUAGCUGUGGUCCGUCCAUAUGGGCCGCAAUGGUACUCGCUUGUAAUCCACUUUAGUGUAGAAGGACUCAUUCAGUGUUUAUAUUUCAUUUGGCCCCAGACCCCUCUGUAGUGGAACAUUCUGAGACCCCUCUGUGGUGGAAAAGUUGGUCGUGCCCCAAGGUUAAAAAUGUUAAGAAUCCCUGCUUUUCAAUGUGUGAUUAUUUUUUGGUAUGUAGACCAGUUCCAGACAGCACGGUUACAAUUUUAUAAAUGUAUUUCAGUUUUUGCUUGGAAUAUUUCAAAAAUGGAAAUGUUGUCAUUUACUCACCUUCUUACUGAGAUGAAGUCAAGUGUUUUUUGAACUAAGGUACCUGCUUUGCUCAACAAGGAGUUCAAAAAACUACACCUGACUUUUUCACAAUAACAAAGUGAGUACUUCAGGUCAAAUUCAUUUAUUUUUGUAUUUGUUUUCUUUUCUGUAUAUUGUUUUCUAUGUUGUCUUAAGUAUUGUA